UUCUCCACCCACCACGUACAGCAUUACCUUAUGGGAGAUCCGCCAUUAUGUUAACGAAAGCACCAUGUCGAAGCGCAACAUGAAGUGUUCUGCUUUUGCUGGAAAGAUGAGCACAAAACACUCCAUCAUGUCCCAGCUGCAGAGGACAGAAGAGCGGCAUGGAUUGAGUUCAUUUUUGAAGGCAAUGUCUCAGCUACAGUUGGCAAAAAGCUGUUAGUGUGUGCUAACCACUUCUGACUUUCUCCAACCUCGGUCAGCACAAGGCAGGAGUAGUCCAGAGACUUUUUCUAAAAGGUGGGGUAUGUCAAACUUUGUGUGGAUUACCUGCAGAUGAGGGACAUACUCCCUGACUACCUGGCUGCAUUACAAUGAGAAUGCUGAUAGAGGACAAGCCACCACAUCAUUAGGGGAUCCUCUUUUCAAACUGAGCUUUCCAGGAAGGGAGAGUGCAGAGCCAAACCAGUGACGAUAGAGCCAACAUUCCACUGCUAUGAUGCACUGUUGGACCUGAUCUUCGAGAAGGUUUUCCAGGACCCUGUCCCAUUUGUGAAUGAGGUGCUGAAACUCAUCCUUGAAAACCACUCGGCUCAGUAUGAUAGACCCAGCAAGCUGGAUGUUAAAACCAGUUAUGUGUCGAGGUUCAACCAAGGACAGGUCUGAACCCAACAUACUGUCCUUCUGCAUGAGGAAACUCUGCACGAAUCCUCAGCACCACGCAGAGACAGGCAGCACAACUUUCACUCUCCGCCCCAGAGAGCCCCAGCACCAGCUUACAAAGCUUCAGUAGGCUACGUAUCAGUAUAUGCUGGACACAAUUCAGUAUAAAUUCAGCACUGAAUGUUCACAUCCAUGGCAACUUUCUUUGUUAUUAUUUUCAUAUUGAUAUUGAAGUUAAUAUAUAAAGUUAAACUGUUCCACUUCAGAUAUUUAUUUUCCUAUUAUUGUUAUUUUUUAUUUCAUGCAUGUCAACACAUGUUUACAAAUGUUUCUUACAAUAAAACAUUGUUACUAGCUGUUCUAUGUGUUUUCAUUGUUUGAUAUGUAAUUUUCAUAUUAACAAGUAAAAGAUAGUCAAGAUAAACUAUGAGCAAUGUAAGACAGAGGAACACCUUUUCGAUAAAUGAAUAUUAUUUCUGUGACUAAAAGCUUAUGCACUAUUCCCCUCAGAAGUAAAGGUCCAUAGUCUGCCCCACAGUGAAGCAUGGUGGUACAUUCAGGCAGAAAGCUUCUAGACUUCUUUGAUGGUUGCUCAGGAAGCUGCUGUAGUCUUCGUGUAACCCAGAAAUUAUGAAAGGAAAGUGAGUGACAAUAGAUAGUCACUUGUGGUGUUUCCAUAAGCAGAUAUUCUCGGGUUCUGUAGGCAUUUGUUCACAAUUGCCACAGGAACACCUGUUUUCAAGCAGAAUUUUUAUUAUUCAUUGGAAGCUAUGAUAGCUAAGCAAUCAUGUCACGUUUCUUCUGUAAUAUUUAUUUAAAGUUUAUAAACCAUUGUAACUGGUUAAAAAAAACAA